GGCUCGAUGGCGGACGGUCCGCGCCUGCGCUCGUUGCAACACUGCUUGCGAAACUAGCUUGCAGGUGGCGCCCGUUCGACUCGGGCUCGGGCCA